CAUUAUUACUUUUGGUACGCG
rnacentral:miRNA from 46 species